AUGCUUGGGUCUGUCACCCUCUUUCUUGCUGCCCUGCUCCCUGUGGGCCAGACAGCCCUCACCCUAGAACAGCCCAUGCUUACCAUUACCAGAAAGACCAGGAGCACUGCAACGUUUCUCUGCAAGUUCUCUGAGACAAAGAUCAUGUACAUCCACUGGUAUCGCCAGCAGCCUGGGAAGGCUCCCCGGCGCCUGCUCUACUAUAAACUGGCCGACUCACAACCCAAACUGGAUACAGGAUUCAACUCUAACAAAAUCCAUGCCUACAAGAUUAAUGAUCAAAGCUGUAGCCUGGAAGUUCAGAAGCUGGACGUUAGUGAUGCCGGCACCUAUUACUGUGCCAGCUGGGACUCCACGAAUUGGGAUUUACCUCAGACAAAAUCUACGCUUAUAAGACCAAAGAUCAAUGUUGAACAUUGGUGGUCGAGAAACUCGGUGUGCGUGAUGCUGGCAACUAUUGCUGUGCCAGCUGGAACUCCAAGGAAGCUAUAUGGGUUCAAGUCUCUCUUGGUGCCCCCUGCCCACAUGCCCAGGGGUCUAGGCACCAAUACACUCAUCCUGGCUUUGAACGAAGACGACCAGAUUCCAGCCUGA